rnacentral:rRNA from 1 species
GACGUAGGGGGCAAGCGUUGUUCGGAAUUAUUGGGCGUAAAGGGCAUGUAGGCGGUUUUGUAAGCCUGGUGUGAAAUCCUGCAGCUUAACUGUAGAAUUGCAUCGGGUACUGCGAGACUUGAAUCACAGAGGGGAAACUAGAAUUCCAGGUGUAGGGGUGGAAUCUGUAGAUAUCUGGAAGAAUACCGGUGGCGAAGGCGGGUUUCUAGCUGAUGAUUGACGCUGAGGUGCGAAAGUGCGGGGAGCAAACAGG